rnacentral:misc_RNA from 1 species
GUUUGAUAGUCACAAUGAACAUCCGCUUUUCGUCCCGUAUUGGUUAUUCAAUUAAAUGUUUCCCGCGUUAAUUUGAACUUAUAUCAUAUUUUAUGAUGCGUUAGACAGAUGGAUCAAAUAAGUUUACAAAAAUUGAUUUCAUUAACUGAGUCUUGAACUAUUAUUUCUAACAAUAUGUUAAGGUUUGUUUUAUUACUUAAAAAUAUGAUUUUUACGUCAGAAAGAAAAAAAACGCGGGCUGAUAAACAUCAUCUGUGUUCCGGUGUUUGUUCCGGUAUUUGGAUUGGUCAAGCCAAGGCCGACUGCUCACGGAAUGAUCCGAACACUGAACUUUCAAACGUGUUUAUCAAUAUGGCGUGCCGAUGUUUGAAUUUGAUCGUUACUUGUUAGCACAUUAGAAAAGUUUGAGAAACACUUGUAAAGUUUUAUUAUUUACAGACAAAAUUGAUUGCUACUGUUUCAAAGAAAAUAUUGACUAAGGUAGUUUUUACGACGUGUAGUUAAUAUGGAGAAUUUCGUGAAGAUUGAGAAGAUCGGCGAAGGUACUUAUGGAGUGGUGUAUAAAGGAAAGCAUAAGAAAACAGGAGAAAUUGUAGCUAUGAAAAAGAUUCGUUUAGAAAGCGAUGAAGAAGGUAUGCCAUCAACAGCAAUUCGUGAGAUUUCAUUGCUUAAAGAACUACCACAUCCAAAUAUUGUUAGGCUGAUGGAUGUAUUAAUGGAAGAAACUAGAUUGUAUCUUAUUUUUGAGUAUCUCACUAUGGAUUUAAAAAAAUAUAUGGAUAGUUUAGAGAGUGGCAAAUUAAUGGAACCAAAAAUGGUUAAAUCUUACUUAUAUCAGAUCACAAGUGCUAUUCUUUUCUGUCAUAAACGAAGAAUCUUGCAUCGUGAUUUGAAACCUCAAAAUUUAUUGAUUGAUAAAUCAGGGGUGAUAAAAGUAGCUGAUUUUGGUCUUGGCAGAGCUUUUGGUAUCCCAGUCAGGGUCUAUACACAUGAAGUAGUUACUUUGUGGUAUAGAGCUCCAGAAAUCCUUCUUGGUGCCAGUAGAUAUUCGUGCGCUAUUGAUAUCUGGAGUAUAGGUUGCAUAUUUGCAGAAAUGGCAACAAAGAAACCACUAUUUCAAGGAGAUAGUGAAAUUGAUCAAUUAUUCAGAAUAUUUCGGAUACUAAGGACACCCACUGAAGAAAUAUGGCCUGGUGUGUCACAGUUAUCUGAUUAUAAGGCCACCUUUCCAAAUUGGAUUACUAAUAAUUUGGAAUCACAAGUUAAAACAUUAGAUACAGAUGGGCUUGAUCUUUUGCAAGCAAUGCUUGUCUAUGAUCCAGUACACAGAAUAUCAGCACGAGCCGCUUUAAAACAUCCUUAUUUUAAUGAUUUAGAUACCUCGAAAUUACCGCCAGCAUAAAGUGAAAAAACUACUGAAAAUGGUAAAUGUAUGUUUCUCAGAAACUUGUGGCGUUUUAAUUGUGUGAACAUAUAGAGAGUAUGUCUUAGUGUGUAUCAGAAAACUAAUUUAUUUAUAUGUAAGAACUCAUUUAAGUUUCUCUUUUAUGACAUUACUCAUUUCAUGUUAGAAAGUUGCAUAUUGUAAUGAUAUUUAAUUUUGACAUUACAUAUAAAGUUUGUUAACUGAACUAUGUUAUAAAACUUACACUAACAUGUUUGAGCAAAAAAUGUGCUGUAGUAGAUGGAUACUUCAGCAAUUUAUCUUUGCAACAUAAAAAAAGCAAAUUGAUGAAUAAGUGUGACGUCGUCUUUUAUCUUGUAACGUGUAAAUUAAGUUACAUUACUACGGAGAAACGAAAAGAAACGAAACCGUACGUGGUAUUACAGCGAUUCUCAGAAUGAUCAACUUGAUUCACUUAUGGAUGACUCAUGUACAGCAAUGUAACGACAUUGUGUGGUACCCGCAUCUUUCAAAAAAACACAAGAAAUAGUUUUAGUGAAAAUACUUGUACAAAAUUUAGAAAAUAAUGCGUUUCACAUACUGCACGGCUAACAAGAAUGAAGUGCAAUUAUAAUGGAAGAAUAAAAUUGGAGAACUUAAAAUAAAUUAUCAUUGUAACAAAAGAAUCAAUAUUCUAAUUAUAGUGCAACACAGAAAAUUAUUUUGUACAUAAGUAAAGAAUUUCUUUUAAUUUUUGAGGAGAACAUGUUGGAUCACCGCACGUAGUCCAUUCAAAGCGUGCGUGACCUAUAAUUGGAUUCAGAGUGGGGUAUGUCUCAUAAAAUCCUUCUCCAUUGAAUCCACUGUUUACAGUACCAGUUAAGAGACUGACAACAUCACUUCACG